UACGAAGGGUGCAAGCGUUAAUCGGAAUUACUGGGCGUAAAGCGUGCGUAGGCGGUUUCUUAAGUCUGCUGUGAAAUCCCCGGGCUCAACCUGGGAAUGGCAGUGGAUACUGGGAGGCUAGAGUGUGUCAGAGGAUGGUGGAAUUCCCGGUGUAGCGGUGAAAUGCGUAGAGAUCGGGAGGAACAUCAGUGGCGAAGGCGGCCAUCUGGGACAACACUGACGCUGAGGAGCGAAAGCGUGGGGAGCAAACAGG
rnacentral:rRNA from 1 species